AGCUUCGGGGCUGAUCGCCUCUCUGUCCCUCCUUACAUCUGCUGUAAUAUCAGUGUAAACAGCUGUCUCCCUCUCUGCAGGCUGCAGCUGCGUCCUCAUUUUCCUGCCCCAGACCCCCACCUGGCUGAGUGGGAGAUGCCAGGAACUUCAGAACACCCUGAACAUGUUCCUGAAGCAGCUUCUUAGAGGCUCACUGGCAUCCAUCCUGAGAGGUCCAUGCCGAUGUCACUGGUUAGGAAACUCCUGGAAAAUACCACACACCCCACACUCAGCCGGAAAGGGGUGCGGAGCAUGGAAACGCACAUCAGGAGGCUGCCGCCCAGAGCUUGGAAAUGCACAUCAGGAAGCCUCCGACUUCAUUUCCCCUCCUUCGAAAGAGGGACUUCUCUCGGUGAUCUGCAUGGCUCCUCCACGGCCACAUCUGGAGGGUUUGAGGGAUGGCCUCCUAUUCCAUGAUCAUGAACAGGGGACUGGAAUGAAUGAGAUCUUAUAUGAACUCUUAACGGGGAGGAAGAGGAUCAGGCUUCCUGGACGUGAUGUACAAGGCUCAUGUGUACUGCAGUGGAAGUGCAGAGUUGUAACCGCUGGACCCCCAGGGAAGUUCCAGUGCGUGCUUUUCUUUGUGUGAGUUCUAGUUCAAGGUCAUGGGAUGAGAACCAAAUCAAUAGGAUUUCCACUCAAACAGCUCCUUCCAUAAGUGCUGUUUUUAAUCAUUUUUCUUCAUGUUAUGAUGGUAUAAAUAUUAUUUAAAAACCUAUUUAAUAUGCUGAUUAUUUCCUUACAUAGCUGGGAGAGGACUAUGCUUGGAAACGUAACUUCUAAGCCUAUUUCUGCCUUGUUAUAAUGGAGAUAGUACCAAGUAUUUCCCAAGAGUGCUGGCAGUGAAAUUUUAAAAAUCUAUAAAUCACUCGGCAUAGGGUAAAUUCUAUGUAGUAAAUGCCCUAGAAAUAUAUUAGUAUU
rnacentral:lncRNA from 1 species